GCGCGGGUGGUGGAAUGGCAGACACGUACGUUUGAGGUGCGUAUGCCGAAAGGAGUGAGAGUUCAAGUCUCUCCCCGCGCA
rnacentral:tRNA from 1 species